UGGGGAAUAUUGCGCAAUGGAGGAAACUCUGACGCAGCGACGCCGCGUGGGUGAUGAAGGCCUUCGGGUUGUAAAGCCCUGUCGGUUGGGAAAAAGAUAGUCGUGCUAAUAUCACGAUUGUUUGAUGGUACCAGCAAAGGAAGUAGCGGCUAACUCUGUGCCAGCAGCCGCGGUAAUACAGAGGCUACGAGCGUUGUUCGGAAUUACUGGGCGUAAAGGGCGCGUAGGCGGUUUCAUAAGUCAGAUGUGAAAGCCUGGGGCUUAACCCCAGAAGUGCAUUUGAAACUGUGAGGCUAGAGUGCAGUAGAGAAUGGCGGAAUUCCCAGUGGAGAGGUGAAAUUCGUAGAUAUUGGGAGGAACACCGGUGGCGAAGGCGGCCAUUUGGGCUGUAACUGACGCUGAGGCGCGAAAGCGUGGGUAGCAAACAGG
rnacentral:rRNA from 1 species